AUAGAGCCUUAGUAGUAUAGUUAAUACACUGGUCUUG
rnacentral:tRNA from 1 species